AUGGGCAAUAAAAACUUUUAAAAGAAAGAUAACAAAAGGAAAUUUACUAUAGCAAAUAUUUUUAAAUCCUUAAAUUUAUAAUAAAUAAAAAGUGUAUAAUUGAUGCAGUAUUUCAGGCAGAUUGACAGAACAGACGCAAAAGUCCAUAAACAGACUGACAGAGAUUGUAUGAGCCAAGAAGGCAUUUCAGAUCAGGAAGGGAAGGAUAGAAUGAAUGGUUGUGGGACAACUGGUUAAAUGUAAAAAAAAAAGCAAAAACAGACAUCAGAACCCCACUUCAAAUUGCACAUCAUCUGAAUUUAAGAAUAGCUCCCAUGUAGUAGGAAUUUGCUUUGUGCUAAGCACUUUCUGACAUAGGUAAGUAUCUUAAACCUGCAUAUUUUGAAUUGAAUCCAAUUCUCAGCACCACAUAUAAAUAAAUAAAUAAAGGUCCAUCAACAACUAAAAAUAUGCAUAUUUAAAAAAACAUCAUGCACAUAAAAUAUGAAGUAAAUAAAAUGGAAAAAGUGAAAAAGUAUAUGCCUGAUAUUUGGCAGAGCAUUACUAUUGAUUUUCUAUAUAGAAUGUUGGUAUAUUUUAGGAGGUAAAAACAAUAUUAACAUUCCCCCAAAAAUGUAGAUAGGAGACAAGAUCAGGCAAUGGCAAAUGAAGAUAUGCAAAUUAACAAUAAACAUGGAAAAAGUUCAACAUCACUAAUAAGCAUAAAAUUUGCAAAUUAAACUGAUUAUAAUUUUUGGCUAAUCAUUUGACAAACAUAAAAACUCGGGAAUUGGCAAGGGUAUAGAGAAAAAGGAUUUUUACAAAAUGGUGGUUGAAGUUAUUUUCUACAUGAAAAAAACCAAAAAAGCUAUAGCUAUAUAUUAUAAUGAAUAAGAAAGAUUAGCAAAAAUACAGAAAAAAUAUGUCAAUUGCAUUUGUAUACACUAACAAAAAGAUUUAAAAUUAUAAUUUAAAAUACUGUUUUAAUAAUAAACAGAAAAUAAAAGAACCUAGAGAUAAAUGGAAAGGCUUUUAUCAAGAAAAAAAUCACAAAACUACGUAAAAGAGGGCUAAGGUUGUAGCUCAGUGGUAGAGUCCUUGCCUAGCAUGCAUGAGGAACUGGGUAUGAUUCUCAGCACCACAUAUAAAUAAAUAAAUAAAUGUCCAUUGACAACUAAAAAAAAAAUUUUAAAAACUACAUAAAAGAUAUUAAAGACAAAAGGAGAAACAUACCAUGUUUAUCAAAGAACCAAACAAUAUCUCAAAGGUGUCGAUCUCCCAAUAGCCUGUAGAUUCAAUGUAAUUGUAAUAAAAAUCCUAACAAGCAGACUCUUAAGUAUAUAGUCAAGAAGUCUUUAAAGAAUUGCAUGGACAUGGUGGCUCACGCCUGUAAUCCCAGCGGCUCUGGAGACUGAGGCAGGAGGAUCCAAGUUUAAAGCCAGCCUCAGUGCUUAGCAAGGUUCUACGCAACUUAGGGAGACCUUGUCUCUAAAUAAAAUAUAAAAAGGACUGUGGAUGUGGCUCAGUGGUUAAGCGGCCCUGGGCUGAAUCUCUGGAACCCACCCCACUCCAAAAAAAAAAAAAAAAAACACAAAAAAACACAAAAAAACAAGAAACGAAGAAACAAAACAAUGUGGAAAGGGAGGCUUUGCACCAUCACUCAGCAAAACCAAUAAAAACAGUGGAUAUUAAGACAGUCAGUAUUAAAUUAGGGAAAGACAAAAAAGACUAAUGGAACAAAAAGAAGAGCCCUGAAUCAGAUUCAUACGUGUAUGGCAUGUUGUGCACCACAGAAGAGGCUGUGCAGAGAAAAUCCUGGGAUGAUGGCAUGUUCACAGGGCAAAGUAUAAAGUUCACCUCACACCACAUAUUAAAGCCAUUUCCCAUUUAAAUCCACAACCCCAUUCACAUUGAGUCCUAAAUGUACGAAGUGAAACAGAUUUCAGAAGAAAAUAGGAAGAACGUCAUGAUGAUGUCAGGUUAGGGAAGGAUUCCUUCAACAGGACAAGGUACCAAUCACAAUCCACAAAGAAGAUGGACAUAUGUGACUACACUAAAAUUAGGAAUCUCCUUUCAUGACGGGCAUGGUAAUGCACACCUGUAAUCCCGCCACUCAGGAAGCUGAGGCAAGAGAAGUGCAAGUCUGAGGUCAGCCUCAGCAAUUUAGCAAGACCCUGUCUCCAAAUGAAAACUAAAAAGGGAGGGGGGUGGAGGUCAGUGGUAGAGCACCCCUGGGUUCAAUCCCUGGUACUAAAUAAAUAAAUAAAUUUCAUUAAAAGACAUAAUAAGGAAAAAGAUGAACUAGAAGUUGGGAGGGGGUAUUUCCAAUAUUUAACGUCAAGGGAUUCGAUCAGUAGCUAGAAUAUAUAAAGGACUCCUAAAAUAAGAUACAAAUAUUCUAAAAAGAAAAAUAAAGACUUACAAGUAUUUCACAGAAAAGGAAACACAAAUGGUCAUUUAACAUUUAAGAGAGCACAUAAAAUACCUAACCUCAUUAACAGUCAUGAAAAUGCAAAUUGAAGCCACAAUAUCAUUCUAUUCCCCUCAGACUGGCAAAUUUGAAAAGCUAAUCAGCAUAAGAAUUGUCAAGGAUGCACAAGUUGGAUACUGCGGGUGGAACCGUAGAGGAGCAUUACUUAGUACAGGGGAAAAAGUGCCACCUGCCAGCCCAGAAACUGCAUUCCCAGAUAAACAUCCCAGAGCACUCUUCCCCCGUGCACCAGGAGACAUUCACAAGGAUGCUCAAGCAACGUUGUUGGCAGAAAACAGUGAACAGCCCACAUGACCGUGGACAGGAGAACAGGUGUAUCCACACACCCAAACACUUUGUGCCACUUGUGGUGAAGGGAACAAAUGAAAGCCCCAGAUACCAAAAAGGAUGCAUCUCACAGAUGCUGUGAGGGGAAAAGGCAAGUCACAGAAGAACAGAGAUUCCAUUUCUACAGAGUCGAAAAAGGGUAGGAACGGUUCUAUAGAGUUUAGCAACGCACAUACACGUAUGGGAAGAGCAUUGAGCAAAAAGUCCCAAACAGGAUAAGACAGAAUCCAAAGGAACCACUAACACAAUGCAGGAAAACAGAACCAUCUGAUAAAGCAAGUAUCCCGUGAACAAGAGCUGUUCAAUGCAUCACCAGGCCUAGAAGUCCAUGCAUUUAAAAUGAUUACUUUGAGCCCAACUGCAUCGCUUUGGGAUGGUGGCAUCCAGUGUUCAGACCAGCAUAUCUGAAGCUGUUGGCUCAGGGACCCAGGCACAUGCAAGUGACCUUGUACGUUCCUUCUUGAUGGAGAGGAACUAGGAGGAUGCGCCGGGGACAAGCUGCCUUGAGGAUUUGUGAAGAGAACUUCUGUGUAUAACGGAGCCCCCUGAGGCAGGCUUGUGAAAGUAAUGUCCUCGGCUCCCCUGACAUCAAAUUCAUGUCCAGAGUUCACUGGGUGGUUUUCAGCACUGGCAAGUGGAUUCCUAUUUCUGAUAGGGGACAAUGGCCGGCGAACAUUGAACCUUGAGUUUCCCUCUGAACUUGAGCUGUGACCUAAAGUCGGUGACAGUGACAAGUCUAUUGGAACUUCAUCUCUCAGAGCAAAAUGCGUUAAUGAUCCAGGAGUGUAAUAAGAUGAAUUCAUGGAGGAUCUCGAAGCUGUUGGUCUAGCAGAAAUGAGCCACCCCCGACUCUGCCUGCUCUCUGUUAUUCUGUGGAUCUGAUGAGACUCUGCUGUCCUUAUCACUCAGUCUCUAAAGCAGCUCGCCUGCCUGUCGAGUGGACAGGACUUUGCGGGGCCUGGGAAGGUCUGUGAUAACAGCUCUGCUGGGGAAAUGCAAAUCCUUGGAGCAGCCGGCUCAGCCAAGGGCCAAGUCAAUACCACUCGCUUUAAUUGAGCUGCCUGGCAGGGGAGCCCGGGCUUCAGAGGCUAACGUCCUAACACUGGGUAAGCUUCUUUUAUUGUGAACUGCACAGGACACUCACAGACACAGUGCGAAUCUUUACUCAUCAGCUCUAUCUGUUAAACUCUCCUACCAGGCCCCUCGUGGGGUUUAUGAACCCCAGGAAGAGAUUUAUCAGCAAUUCAAGGACUCCUUGAGCAUCUGGCUCUGUGCGCACAGGAGUGAGUCCCACUUGUUCACCCACCCCACGGGGCUGAUCCUCACUUGGGAGACUCGUGCUUCUACAUAACCAGCUGAAUUCUGAUCAUUUAUUUCUUUCUUUUGAGGAAAAAAGUGAUACGAAGGCAUCAAAGUCUAGGCUCUGAUUGAUCAGUUUCCAUUUUGAAUUUGAGGAGGGCCUCAGAAGUUGGCUCACGGUGGGUGCUGGAAUGCAAGACUUCUGGUCAUUUUUAGAACUCACCACCCUGGCUAGAGGGUGAGGGGCUGCUCCCCAUCCCCCCCCCCGCUGCCCCUGAGCCAAUUCAGCUCAGGUUCUGAGCAGGGAAGGGGGAGACACCUGGUGGGCU